CGAAGGGGGGACGGAGAAAGUUAGGCUAUCCGGGCGACGGUUGUCCCGGUUUAAGCGUGAAGGUGGAGAGACUAGGCAAAUCCUGUCUUUCAUUAACACUGAGGCGUGAUGACGAAGCACUACUGUGCUGAAGUAGCUGAUACUACGCUUCCAGGAACAGCCUCUAAGCAUCAGGUUACCAGAAAUCGUACCCCAAACCGACACAGGUGGUCAGGUAGAGAAUACUCAGGCGCUUGAGAGAACUCGGGUGAAGGAACUAGGCAAAAUGGUGCCGUAACUCCGGGAGAAGGCACGCUGAUGGUAGGUGACGUCCCUCGCGGAUGGAGCUGAACUCAGCCGAAGAUACCAGCUGGCUGCAACUGUUUAUUAAAAACACAGCACUGCGCAAACACGAAAGUGGACGUAUACGGUGUGACGCGUGCCCGGGGCCGGCAGGUCAAUGGAUGGGGUUAGCGAGAGCGAA
rnacentral:rRNA from 1 species